AAGGGAGAGUAACGCGUAGAUACCUACCCUCUGGUCGGGGAUACCGCGGCAUAACCGCAAGUAAUACCCGAUAAUAUCUCCGGAUCAAAGGUGUGAUUCCGCCGGAGGAGGGGUCUGCGUUUCAUCAGCUUGUUGGUGAGGUAACGGCUCACCAAGGCUAAGACGAAUACGGGGUGUGAGAGCAUGCCCCCGCUCACUGGGACUGAGACACUGCCCAGACACCUACGGGUGGCUGCAGUCGAGAAUCUUCGGCAAUGGGCGCAAGCCUGACCGAGCGACGCCGCGUGCGGGAUGAAGGCCUUCGGGUUGUAAACCGCUGUCGAGGGGGAUAAAGUGCAGGUGGGUUCUCCCAUUUGUUUGAUAGAUCCCUGGAGGAAGCAUGGGCUAAGUUCGUGCCAGCAGCCGCGGUAAGACGAACCAUGCAAACGUUAUUCGGAUUCACUGGGCUUAAAGCGUGCGUAGGCGGUCUUGUUAGUCAGGUGUGAAAGCCCUCAGCCCAACUGAGGAAUUGCGCUUGAUACUGCAUGACUUGAGAAUGAUAGAGGUGGGUGGAACUGAUGGUGGAGCGGUGAAAUGCGUUGA
rnacentral:rRNA from 1 species